AAAACAUUAAAACUAAAAGUGGAUAUUCAGGAUUUCCAUCAGUUUGUGGUGAGAAUUAUUCUGUGGUGUGAGCAGUGAUGACAUCUCUUUCAGUUCCUGAGCCGAUUACAGCACUUCUGCAGAGAGAGUUCAGCAGAUGGGAAAGUAUAAUCAUAGAUGGUGUUCAGGAAAGUUUGCAAGACAUAAAAUCAUCAUUUGAGCUCUCUCAGGCUGAGAAGAGGCAAAUGUCAAUGCAUGCUGUUGACAGAUUGUUACAAAAUUACAACCAUUAUGUUAUACAUACUAUUGAUAAAAUACAAGCUCCAGAAUCAAGGAUCAGGACAAAGAGACUGAAGACAUGAUGACACUGUACAGUAGAGUUUGUGCCGUCAAAUGUUGUAUAAAUGCAAUAUCACACUCAUAGCCUUGAGAUAUCACUCUAUAUCAGCAUGGCUGAUUAACUGCGACCUUGUGUUUACGGCUAAACUGAUAUAGAGUGAUAUCCACAACUAUGAGUGUGAUAUUGUUCCUAUAUUCACAUUUAAAUAAAAUGUGUACACAGUGGUUUUAAAUCUGAUGCACCUCCUAUUGAAUUCUAUGUAUACUCUGUCUAUUUUGUUGAUGCAUGUUUAUAUAUUUGUUUUUCUUGCAGGUUCUUUACUAAGAAUAAUUCUGUAAACCGCAUCAUGUGCCGAUAGGUUGCAUACAUCCACCCUUUGUGUGUGAUUAUAAUGCUUUUGCUGUAUUAAUGUGCUGAUACUACAGUAGUUACCUGUUUUGACUUUUAGACUUUUUGGAUUGAUAAAUGCACUUAAUUUAAAGGCACAUGUUUUCGACAUGCAAACCUUUUAGUAAACUACAGCCUUAUAGUGAUCAAAAGAGCAGCUAUUCAGAUUUUCUAUUCUAUUCGUUUCUGUAUUUUCAUUUCAUUCUACUGUUAGUGAUGUUCCUCUGAAGGAGUAUUGUUUUUUAUGAAUAUUUUCUCUUGAAUUCCAAAAAUAAAGACUCAGCUGUUAUGAA